AUACCUUUCUCGGCCUUUUGGCUAAGAUCAAGUGUAGUAUCUGUUCUUAUCAGUUUAAUAUCUGAUACGUGGGUCAUCGGUCCACAUGAUAUUAAAUUAAUUUUUCUUGGGGCGAGGGCCCAUUACAGUAGCUUGCUAUUGGGGUCCUCGUGUGUCGCCCAUGCGUUGCACUACUGCACGGGCUUGGCGCACCCCUA